CGCGUAGGCGGUUAUUUAAGUCAGGGUGAAAACUCUGGGCUCAACUCAGAGCCUGCCUCUGAAACUGGAUGACUUGAGGGCAGGAGAGGGGAGUGGAAUUCCCAGUGUAGCGGUGAAAUGCGUAGAUAUUGGGAGGAACACCAGUGGCGAAGGCGACUCUCUGGCCUGUUACUGACGCUGAGGCGCGAAAGCGUGGGGAUCAAACA
rnacentral:rRNA from 1 species